rnacentral:rRNA from 1 species
UACGGGGGGGGCAAGCGUUGUUCGGAAUUACUGGGCGUAAAGGGCGCGUAGGCGGCCCGCUUAGUCGGACGUGAAAUCCCUCGGCUCAACCGAGGAACUGCGUCCGAUACUGGCGGGCUCGAAUCCGGGAGAGGGAUGUGGAAUUCCAGGUGUAGCGGUGAAAUGCGUAGAUAUUGGGAGGAACACCAGUGGCGAAGGCGGCUCACUGGACCGGAACUGACGCUGAGGCGCGAAAGCGUGGGGAGCAAACAGG